rnacentral:rRNA from 1 species
AUCUGUGUGACUGCGUACCUUUUGUAUAAUGGGUCAGCGACUUAUAUUCUGUAGCAAGGUUAACCGAAUAGGGGAGCCGAAGGGAAACCGAGUCUUAACCGGGCGUUAAGUUGCAGGGUAUAGACCCGAAACCCGGUGAUCUAGCCAUGGGCAGGUUGAAGGUUGGGUAACACUAACUGGAGGACCGAACCGACUAAUGUUGAAAAAUUAGCGGAUGACUUGUGGCUGGGGGUGAAAGGCCAAUCAAACCGGGAGAUAGCUGGUUCUCCCCGAAAGCUAUUUAGGUAGCGCCUCGUGAAUUCAUCUCCGGGGGUAGAGCACUGUUUCGGCAAGGGGGUCAUCCCGACUUACCAACCCGAUGCAAACUGCGAAUACCGGAGAAUGUUAUCACGGGAGACACACGGCGGGUGCUAACGUCCGUCGUGAAGAGGGAAACAACCCAGACCGCCAGCUAAGGUCCCAAAGUCAUGGUUAAGUGGGAAACGAUGUGGGAAGGCCCAGACAGCCAGGAUGUUGGCUUAGAAGCAGCCAUCAUUUAAAGAAAGCGUAAUAGCUCACUGGUCGAGUCGGCCUGCGCGGAAGAUGUAACGGGGCUAAACCAUGCACCGAAGCUGCGGCAGCGACACUGUGUGUUGUUGGGUAGGGGAGCGUUCUGUAAGCCUGUGAAGGUGUGCUGUGAGGCAUGCUGGAGGUAUCAGAAGUGCGAAUGCUGACAUAAGUAACGAUAAAGCGGGUGAAAAGCCCGCUCGCCGGAAGACCAAGGGUUCCUGUCCAACGUUAAUCGGGGCAGGGUGAGUCGACCCCUAAGGCGAGGCCGAAAGGCGUAGUCGAUGGGAAACAGGUUAAUAUUCCUGUACUUGGUGUUACUGCGAAGGGGGGACGGAGAAGGCUAUGUUGGCCGGGCGACGGUUGUCCCGGUUUAAGCGUGUAGGCUGGUUUUCCAGGCAAAUCCGGAAAAUCAAGGCUGAGGCGUGAUGACGAGGCACUACGGUGCUGAAGCAACAAAUGCCCUGCUUCCAGGAAAAGCCUCUAAGCAUCAGGUAACAUCAAAUCGUACCCCAAACCGACACAGGUGGUCAGGUAGAGAAUACCAAGGCGCUUGAGAGAACUCGGGUGAAGGAACUAGGCAAAAUGGUGCCGUAACUUCGGGAGAAGGCACGCUGAUAUGUAGGUGAAGUCCCUCGCGGAUGGAGCUGAAAUCAGUCGAAGAUACCAGCUGGCUGCAACUGUUUAUUAAAAACACAGCACUGUGCAAACACGAAAGUGGACGUAUACGGUGUGACGCCUGCCCGGUGCCGGAAGGUUAAUUGAUGGGGUCAGCGCAAGCGAAGCUCUUGAUCGAAGCCCCGGUAAACGGCGGCCGUAACUAUAACGGUCCUAAGGUAGCGAAAUUCCUUGUCGGGUAAGUUCCGACCUGCACGAAUGGCGUAAUGAUGGCCAGGCUGUCUCCACCCGAGACUCAGUGAAAUUGAACUCGCUGUGAAGAUGCAGUGUACCCGCGGCAAGACGGAAAGACCCCGUGAACCUUUACUAUAGCUUGACACUGAACAUUGAGCCUUGAUGUGUAGGAUAGGUGGGAGGCUUUGAAGUGUGGACGCCAGUCUGCAUGGAGCCGACCUUGAAAUACCACCCUUUAAUGUUUGAUGUUCUAACGUGGACCCGUGAUCCGGGUUGCGGACAGUGUCUGGUGGGUAGUUUGACUGGGGCGGUCUCCUCCUAAAGAGUAACGGAGGAGCACGAAGGUUGGCUAAUCCUGGUCGGACAUCAGGAGGUUAGUGCAAUGGCAUAAGCCAGCUUGACUGCGAGCGUGACGGCGCGAGCAGGUGCGAAAGCAGGUCAUAGUGAUCCGGUGGUUCUGAAUGGAAGGGCCAUCGCUCAACGGAUAAAAGGUACUCCGGGGAUAACAGGCUGAUACCGCCCAAGAGUUCAUAUCGACGGCGGUGUUUGGCACCUCGAUGUCGGCUCAUCACAUCCUGGGGCUGAAGUAGGUCCCAAGGGUAUGGCUGUUCGCCAUUUAAAGUGGUACGCGAGCUGGGUUUAGAACGUCGUGAGACAGUUCGGUCCCUAUCUGCCGUGGGCGCUGGAGAACUGAGGGGGGCUGCUCCUAGUACGAGAGGACCGGAGUGGACGCAUCACUGGUGUUCGGGUUGUCAUGCCAAUGGCACUGCCCGGUAGCUAAAUGCGGAAGAGAUAAGUGCUGAAAGCAUCUAAGCACGAAACUUGCCCCGAGAUGAGUUCU